GCAAAGUACGGGGCAUAGAUUUUCAUUAUGGGGAAACGCUGGAUAGGAUACUGUCGACAUUGCCAUUUUUGUACGUCUGGAGAUGUGAAACGUCACCCCUGAUGGAGUGAAUGAACGUGCGUCCACAUCCAAUGCUCGUACCUCGGAGACUCGUUUGCACGAUAUCAGGCAGAAAAGCAUUGCCAGUUUUGCUGAUAGUUGUUUCAGUGUAAGAUCUGAGUUUCGUGGCCACUGUUCCAGUAGGUUCAGGACUAAAUUCACAUCCCACGUGGAUGUAUAUGGAGGUCGUGGUGGCCUUGCAAAACGAACACCUCGUAGGAGUCUGCAUACCAUUGUGUGUCUCCCUAUCGGUGCACCGUCCAGUCCAUGAUGUCCUGCUGAAAUCGCUGACCUAUA